GACGUCAGACGUUCAGAACCAGGCUCAAAAGGGCGACACACAGCCCGUCAAGCGAAAGGACAGCUCCCCGCUGAACCACAGCAACAUCUUGUCGAGGUCGAACACCAGAAGGUUCGUGUCCAGCUGCUUCAGCCCGAGCACCAUCGCCGGCUCGCCGUCCACCGGCAUGCCGCCGCCGGCCUCCAUCUCGAGGAUCCCCACGCACAUCCCGCGCGGCUUCUCGGUGAACAACCUCCAGAUGCCCGUGGCGCCGGCGAGCUCCAGGUCGAUCGUCGGAACGUCCCACGUCGGCGGCCGCUUCCGGAACGGGAACGCGCCGUCGUAGCACAGCUUGAAGGGCUCCACCGCCGGCACGCGCACCACCUUGGCGUAAUCCGUUCCUCGUAUGGCGGCGUCGAACGCCUCGGCGAAGGCGCGGAACACGUCGGGCCGCAUGACGGCGUACGGCGUCGUGGUGCUCAGCACGACGCCGCCGCGGCCCGUGCGGGCGUCCAUGUCGAGCGCGCCGGCUGGCAGGGACGCCGGGACGUCCCGCCCGUACCAGCUCACCGUGAUGCCUUUGACGGGGAGGUAGUAGCCGGGGUUUCUUGGGUUCGUCAGGAGCGGGGUGUACGGGAGGCUUUCCGUGUAGUUGACGAUGCCUAG
rnacentral:lncRNA from 2 species